CCCCAGGAAGAGCAGCAAGUGAUUUUAACCUCCAAGCCAGCCCCAACAGAUUCUAAGGCUUUGGAAGAAGACAGAGGAAAUGCCACAUCCAUGCAGGAAGCUGAGGAAACAGCAAUGCAGGGGGCAGAGAAGGGUUCUGGAGAAGGUGCCUGCUCUGGAUGGGGACAGGAAGAGGCUGUU